rnacentral:rRNA from 1 species
AUUGAAUGCUGGCGGCAGGCCUAACACAUGCAAGUCGAACGAGUGGCGGACGGGUGAGUAAUGUCUAGGAAACUGCCCGAUGGAGGGGGGUAACUACUGGAAACGGUAUCUAAUACCGCAUACCAUCGGAUGUGCCCAGAUGGGAUUGGCUAGUAGGUGGGGUAACGGCUCACAUAGGCGACGAUCCCUAGCUGGUCUGAGAGGAUGACCAGCCACACUGGAACUGAGACACGGUCCAGACUCCUACGGGAGGCAGCAGUGGGGAAUAUUGGACAAUGGGCGAAAGCCUGAUGCAGCCAUGCCGCGUGUGUGAAGAAGGUCUUCGGAUUGUAAAGCACUUUAAGUUGGGAGGCGUUACCAACAGAAUAAGCACCGGCUAACUUCGUGCCAGCAGCCGCGGUAAUAC